GACGAACGCUGGCGGCGUGCCUAAUACAUGCAAGUAGAACGCUGAAGAGAGGAGCUUGCUCUUCUUGGGUGAGUUGCAAACGGGUGAGUAACGCGUAGGUAACCUGCCUGGUAGCGGGGGAUAACUAUUGGAAACGAUAGCUAAUACCGCAUAAAAUGGAUUAUCGCAUGAUAAUCCAUUGAAAGGUGCAAAUGCAUCACUACCAGAUGGACCUGCGUUGUAUUAGCUAGUUGGUGGGGUAACGGCUCACCAAGGCGACGAUACAUAGCCGACCUGAGAGGGUGAUCGGCCACACUGGGACUGAGACACGGCCCAGACUCCUACGGGAGGCAGCAGUAGGGAAUCUUCGGCAAUGGACGGAAGUCUGACCGAGCAACGCCGCGUGAGUGAAGAAGGUUUUCGGAUCGUAAAGCUCUGUUGUAAGAGAAGAACGAGUGUGAGAGUGGAAAGUUCACACUGUGACGGUAUCUUACCAGAAAGGGACGGCUAACUACGUG
rnacentral:rRNA from 1 species